rnacentral:rRNA from 1 species
UAUGGAGGGUGCAAGCGUUGUUCGGAAUUAUUGGGCGUAAAGCGCACGUAGGUGGCAUCAGAAGUCCGGUGUGAAAUCCCUCGGCUUAACCGAGGAAGUGCGCCGGAAACCAUGAAGCUAGAGUAUAGGAGGGGAGAGUGGAAUUCCCAGUGUAGAGGUGAAAUUCGUAGAUAUUGGGAGGAACACCGGUGGCGAAAGCGACUCUCUGGACUAUUACUGACACUAAGGUGCGAAAGCGUGGGUAGCAAACAGG